GACAUAAGUAACGAUAAAGCGGGUGAAAAGCCCGCUCGCCGGAAGACCAAGGGUUCCUGUCCAACGUUAAUCGGGGCAGGGUGAGUCGACCCCUAAGGCGAGGCCGAAAGGCGUAGUCGAUGGGAAACAGGUUAAUAUUCCUGUACUUGGUGUUACUGCGAAGGGGGGACGGAGAAGGCUAUGUUGGCCGGGCGACGGUUGUCCCGGUUUAAGCGUGUAGGUGUGUGUUCCAGGUAAAUCCGGUUCACUUUAACACUGAGGCGUGAUGACGAGGCACUACGGUGCUGAAGCAACAAAUGCCCUGCUUCCAGGAAAAGCCUCUAAGCAUCAGGUAACAUCAAAUCGUACCCCAAACCGACACAGGUGGUCAGGUAGAGAAUACCAAGGCGCUUGAGAGAACUCGGGUGAAGGAACUAGGCAAAAUGGUGCCGUAACUUCGGGAGAAGGCACGCUGACACGUAGGUGAAGUGAUUUACUCAUGGAGCUGAAGUCAGUCGAAGAUACCAGCUGGCUGCAACUGUUUAUUAAAAACACAGCACUGUGCAAACACGAAAGUGGACGUAUACGGUGUGACGCCUGCCCGGUGCCGGAAGGUUAAUUGAUGGGGUCAGCGCAAGCGAAGCUCCUGAUCGAAGCCCCGGUAAACGGCGGCCGUAACUAUAACGGUCCUAAGGUAGCGAAAUUCCUUGUCGGGUAAGUUCCGACCUGCACGAAUGGCGUAAUGAUGGCCAGGCUGUCUCCACCCGAGACUCAGUGAAAUUGAACUCGCUGUGAAGAUGCAGUGUACCCGCGGCAAGACGGAAAGACCCCGUGAACCUUUACUAUAGCUUGACACUGAACAUUGAGCCUUGAUGUGUAGGAUAGGUGGGAGGCUUUGAAGCGUGGACGCCAGUCUGCGUGGAGCCGACCUUGAAAUACCACCCUUUAAUGUUUGAUGUUCUAACGUGGACCCGUAAUCCGGGUUGCGGACAGUGUCUGGUGGGUAGUUUGACUGGGGCGGUCUCCUCCUAAAGAGUAACGGAGGAGCACGAAGGUUGGCUAAUCCUGGUCGGACAUCAGGAGGUUAGUGCAAUGGCAUAAGCCAGCUUGACUGCGAGCGUGACGGCGCGAGCAGGUGCGAAAGCAGGUCAUAGUGAUCCGGUGGUUCUGAAUGGAAGGGCCAUCGCUCAACGGAUAAAAGGUACUCCGGGGAUAACAGGCUGAUACCGCCCAAGAGUUCAUAUCGACGGCGGUGUUUGGCACCUCGAUGUCGGCUCAUCACAUCCUGGGGCUGAAGUAGGUCCCAAGGGUAUGGCUGUUCGCCAUUUAAAGUGGUACGCGAGCUGGGUUUAGAACGUCGUGAGACAGUUCGGUCCCUAUCUGCCGUGGGCGCUGGAGAACUGAGGGGGGCUGCUCCUAGUACGAGAGGACCGGAGUGGACGCAUCACUGGUGUUCGGGUUGUCAUGCCAAUGGCACUGCCCGGUAGCUAAAUGCGGAAGAGAUAAGUGCUGAAAGCAUCUAAGCACGAAACUUGCCCCGAGAUGAGUUCUCCCUGAGACUUUAAGUCUCCUGAAGGAACGUUGAAGACGACGACGUUGAUAGGCCGGGUGUGUAAGCGCAGCGAUGCGUUGAGCUAACCGGUACUAAUGAACCGUGAGGCUUAACCUU
rnacentral:rRNA from 1 species